rnacentral:rRNA from 1 species
AACGAACGCUGGCGGCAGGCCUAACACAUGCAAGUCGAGCGAGGACUUCGGUCCUAGCGGCGGACGGGUGAGUAACGCGUGGGAACGUGCCCUUUGCUUCGGAAUAGCCCUGGGAAACUGGGAGUAAUACCGGAUGAGCCCUUUGGGGGAAAGAUUUAUCGGCGAAGGAUCGGCCCGCGUUGGAUUAGGUAGUUGGUGGGGUAAUGGCCUACCAAGCCGACGAUCCAUAGCUGGUGUGAGAGGAUGAUCAGCCACACUGGGACUGAGACACGGCCCAGACUCCGACGGGAGGCAGCAGUGGGGAAUCUUAGACAAUGGAGGAAACCCUGAUCUAGCCAUGCCGCGUGAGCGAUGAAGGCCUUAGGGUUGUAAAGCUCUUUCAGCUGGGAAGAUAAUGACGGUACCAGCAGAAGAAGCCCCGGCUAACUCCGUG